GGCUUUAUGUAGCUCAGAUGGUAGAGUAUCGCACGGCGAUAACGCGGAGGUCAUGGGUUUUCAAAUCCCGUUGAAGCCC